AAGAACAUUAUAGAUUCAUUCUUUGCCACAGAUGAGACCUCCCCUUCUUCCAGCUCCCCUGGAAAUGCAAAAGGAGGUUUCUGUCCAGCCUGCACACAGGUCUCCAGAGGCUGGCAAGUGAGAAAUACACUUUUAAGAGUUAGCAGAGUAGAUUUUGUUAAGGAAAUUCACCCACCCCACACAACUGUUAAAUCACAGACCUGCUAUUCAGCCUCCAUGUGUAAUUAUGUGCCUCUGUGCACAUCACAUUUCCACAAAUUCCUGGUUUCUGUCUUUGAGGAUGCACUAAGUGGAUUCUCAGAUGGUGAACAAAGGCUUUGUGCCCUUUCUCCAUCUACAAGGCUUUUCUUCCUUCCACCCCUCCCCUUUUCUUUAAAGCUUAUGGCCAUUGCAGACUUCUUUUCCUCUGUUCUACCUAAAUAAAUUUUCAGCAGAAAGUCUCACAAAAGACAGACAUUUGCAGCCCAAUGUCUAAGCAAAGAAAACACUGCAUUUUGAGUGAAAUUUCUUAUUACUUUAAAAACCUGAUCAGUAACUUUGAGAUAAAACAAAGUCAAAAAAAUGCCCUUAAAAAAAAAAAAAAAGCCUAAAUAUUUUACAGAGCAGCAAAACCCUGCAGUGGGCACAAAGGUCUCAAUGCCCUGUGGGGAUGAUUCUCCCCUUUCAGCCCAGGGAAAUGCUCAAUCCCUACACACCUCAAAGGGUUCUGUUAUGAACAUCAUCCUCAGCUGUCAAACCCAGCUUGCUCCUGGAGAUAAAUUAAUUAAAAGUCAUCCAUCGAGUCCCUUCUUCUUCACCAAAACCAAGAUCUAGCUUGAAUUACUGAGAAGUACAAAGGUGCUGGAGGAAAAAGCACAGAGAUGUCAAAGCUGCCCCAAGUGGGAUGUUCUAAAAAUGGGACGCUCCAAGUUCAGCAUUUUUCUUGCACCUUGCAUAUCUUGAGGAAAAAAAAGAUAAGGAAAAAGCCCCCACAAUCCACAGAGAUUACAUUUCCACAAUGUCAACUUUUUUUCCUAAAUUCUGAACUUUCCUGACAUAAACAUUACAGGUAACUGAGAAAGCAAAGAGAAGAGAAUACACAGAUUGCCAUUCUAUAAUCAAAUUAGAAAAGAUGAAAGUGCUCCAGAGACUGAGGAGUUCAAAGGCUCAUUUUAUUAACAAAAGGAAGUCUCCAAAGAUUGCAUUGAAACACACACAAGGAGAAGAAGGAAAAAUAAGAAUCCUGUCAGGAUUAACCCCAUCAGCUACAUGAACAGAAACAAAGUUUCCUUCCUGUUAGCUACUUAAACCAAAAUGUGAAAGUUUCACUCUGGGGCUGAGGACUGCCAUUCCUGGGUAACGUGGCAGAGGGAGGGAUCUGAUCUGGUGUUUUUUUCUUUUAAAGUAGUAAGUCCAAAUUGCCUUUGUUGAGCCAGGUGGGUCGGCAGUGGAAAAACAUCAAGGCAGCAGCAAAGCAGCUCCCGCUGACUCAACAGAGCCCUGCUCACUGCUGAGCAUCCAAAAGCAGCACACAGCAACUCUUUGUCUUGACCUAUAAGUAAGAGUGCUCGGACAUACGCAAGGAGAAGGAAAAAAAGAAAAAAAACCAAACACAACUGAAGCAAAUAAUUACGCCUGCUGACAGGACUCAAUCUAAUUAAAGCUCCGAUCUCAAGCCCUGCCCAAGAGGAGGAGUGCACAGCAGCACUCGAUGUGGCAAAUUGUGCUGCAGCUUUGUCCCACAGACCAGCAAAGCAGGGAGGGAUCCACCCCUGGAUCACGGCAGCUUAUUGCAUCAGGCACUGCUGCAGGAAGAUAGGCUGCUCCCUCUCCAUAGGCUCAGUCCCUUAGGUUUAAUUAAACCACUUCUCCUGGAGCUGCCAGACACAGACUCCUGCAUCCAGAGGCAUCAACCACCCCGACCUUUGUUAUCCCCUCCCUUUCCUCCUGUGCGAAUAUCUCUGGGAAUUACUACAGCCAAUUGUACAACACAAUAUGUGUGGCCCCGGCUGGACAUUUUUUUUUUCCUUGGCGCCCCACACUCCAGUUUCUACCCCUGAAAAGAAGGGGUGUCCUGGUACUCACAGGCAAAUGACAGCACCCAGGAUUUUAAACUAAAUAAAUUGGCUGGUUCUAGAGAUCAUUGCUUUAUUUACAAGCAGCUCUCUUGCCAAGGCAUUAUGCUGUACAGUGAUUCAUAAUAAAAACUCACUGAAGUGCUGGCAUAAUUAGAGGGCCAUAAAUCCACUCAUUUAAUGGGGAAACACACGCACAAAUGUGCGAAUACAAGGGACACACGCACAGCUCUGCGUGCAGCUAAGGAGAAUAAUAUGGAUUCAGCCACUUAAAGGAGGCACAUGGAGGGCACACAGGCACAGGUCUGGCAGGUGGUGAAGAGAGGAAAAGGAACUCUACAAGAUCCAUUACCGCACACAGCCAGAGUGCCAAGAUUGAUUUAGGAAAAGACAACCAAAACCUUCUCAGGUAGAGUUAUCAAAUCUGCAAGGACAUGGGAAUGCUGCACGAGAAGAUUUGGGGUCCCCAAGCAUGAACACCUGCAGCCCUGAUCUCUACAGCUCAGCCCAUGCUCAUCCUCUCUGCUCUUCUCACCAGGGGAUGGUCAAGCAUCUGGAGUUUCCAAUGACUGUGACCACAUCCUCCUUGGAUUCGGCAAGCCUUUAAGAGCGAACCACAAAGGAAGCACACAAAUUACUUAUUUAGGGACAAAGAAAAGCUUUUGUUUUCUGUUAUUUUACACAAUGCCAUUCUGACCUGUGUUAUGGAAGAAGAUCCUCCUUGUCCCAAAGGAUGUAUCCCAGUCUUCCAUCUUUAGGACGUAUUCCAUUCCCCUGCCCUUAAGACAAGGUAAUAACAUUUUCCUAACACAAUAAUAUUGUGGUUUUAUACUUCUACAGCAUCUGAAUAA